CGCCAGACUCCUACGGGAGGCAGCAGUGGGGAAUAUUGCACAAUGGGGGAAACCCUGAUGCAGCGACGCCGCGUGAGCGAUGAAGUAUUUCGGUAUGUAAAGCUCUAUCAGCAGGGAAGAAGAUGACGGUACCUGACUAAGAAGCCCCGGCUAACUACGUGCCAGCAGCCGCGGUAAUACGUAGGGGGCAAGCGUUAUCCGGAUUUACUGGGUGUAAAGGGAGCGUAGACGGCGGCGCAAGCCAGAUGUGAAAGCCCGGGGCUCAACUCCGGGACUGCAUUUGGAACUGUGUGGCUGGAGUGCCGGAGAGGCAGGCGGAAUUCCUAGUGUAGCGGUGAAAUGCGUAGAUAUUAGGAGGAACACCAGUGGCGAAGGCGGCCUGCUGGACGAUGACUGACGUUGAGGCUCGAAAGCGUGGGGAGCAAACAGGAUUAGAUACCCCCGUAA
rnacentral:rRNA from 1 species